rnacentral:rRNA from 1 species
AACGUACGCUGGCGGCAGGCUUAACACAUGCAAGUCGAACGCUCCGCAAGGAGAGUGGCAGACGGGUGAGUAACACGUGGGAACGUACCCUUUACUACGGAACAACUCCGGGAAACUGGAGCUAAUACCGUAUGUGCCCUUCGGGGAAAGAUUUAUCGGUAAAGGAUCGGCCCGCGUUGGAUUAGCUAGUUGGUGGGGUAAAGGCCUACCAAGGCGACGAUCCAUAGCUGGUCUGAGAGGAUGAUCAGCCACAUUGGGACUGAGACACGGCCCAAACUCCUACGGGAGGCAGCAGUAGGGAAUAUUGGACAAUGGGCGCAAGCCUGAUCCAGCCAUGCCGCGUGUGUGAUGAAGGCCUUAGGGUUGUAAAGCACUUUCACCGGAGAAGAUAAUGACGGUGUCCGGAGAAGAAGCCCCGGCUAACUUCGUGCCAGCCGCCGCGGUAA